GGCGGCUAUAAAAGAGAAAGACAUCGAAGAAGAAAGGGACAGAAAAAUUGAGAGAGGGAAAACGCUGCCAAAUUGCAACCAGAUUAAUUUCUUACAGAUUUUGAACAAACUUCUUGAAUCCAAAUUAUAUUGUUUUCCCGUAAACACCUUGUGCUAACUUAGGCAUCGGAGGGUUUACGCCGGCAAAACCACCGGCGUCUCUGAUCCAUUUUUGGUGAACGCAGGUCUAGUGAGAGAAAGGAGGGUGGUCCCGGCCUUAGUGGUUCGAGCAACAGUCGAUAACUUAAGCGUUGGUGAAAGGAUCUGGUCGGUCUAAGGACGAGCAGAUUUCAGCAUCAACAUUUUGGCGCCGUCUGUGGGGAGCUGAAUAAAAAGCUACCACCAAAUUAGUAAGUACCGGAGAAGCAGCGAGCAAUUGGAUAUGGAUGCGUCAAGAAAUGAUACUUUAAGGGAGGACAAUGAAACGGUGGAGACAAUUACUCUCCGGGAGAUUGCAAAUGAAGCCCGAGAGAGGAUGAUGCAAGAUAUACUGGAGCGGAUGGAGAAACAAAUGGAGACUCUCGCGGCCGUAUUGUUUGAGCUGAGGGACGAGUGGAGAAGGGAUUGUGAAACCCCCGUGGGAAGAGAUGGAAUUGGAGCAGAACCCAGCCUCCGGGGGCGUAGGGUCGGGGAAAUCCCUCCGCCCGCAGACCAACCUAACGGAGUGCAUCCCCACCGAAGUACUGGUCGGGUCCCAGGGGAAUACGUGGAUGAAGGGAGAGACCAACCUCGCCCCGGACGGGUACUGGAAGUAAAUGGCCGAGGGGCCAGUGUUGAUGAGGGAGAGCUCAGACAGCGGUUGCAGAACGUCGAGCAGGAGCGUGAUCAGAUAGCUGCACGUGAUCCUGAUCGUGCUGUAGAAUUGGAGGGGGAGGUGCGCAGAUUGGCGCAGGUGAUAGAGGAGAUGCAAGGCAAGAGGAAGCCCCCGAGCUGAAGGAUAAUGCUAGAUGAAGAAUCCCCGUUAUCAACUGAGAUCAUGAGUACCAUAAUCCCAAGAGAUUUCCGCUUCCCCGACCUCAAAUACUCCGGGCGAAGUGACCCGUUGGUGCACAUUGAGCGUUUCAACGACAUGACGGGUGUGCAGGGGUUGACACCAGCUCAGAGGUGCAGGGUGUUCCCGUUGACACUAGAGGGACGAGCCCGAGAAUGGUACCGCAAGCUUCCCCGAGGAGGAAUUAAGGGUUAUGAGCAGAUGUUCCUGGAGUUGGCCGAGCAGUUCCGAGGGGCAGUGGCCCCAGAGGAUGACAUGAUGGAAUUGAUGGGGAUGAAGCAGGAGGAGCAUGAAUCCCUUCGAGAUUUUGUAAAACGAUAUCACCGAGCCGUGCUGGAUCUGGGAGAUUUUAAUCACCCACAGGCGUUGAGGGGAUUAAAAGAAGGUGUGAGAAUCGGCCGAUUGUGGUAUAACUUAAGAAGCCCCCUCGUACAGAAUUACUCGUCGGGGUAUGAGCAGGCGAGACGAGAUAUAGAAAUCGAAGAAGAGAAAUCAGCAAGAAUUAAAAGUGAACAGCUGGAAGAGCUGAGACGAAAGGAACGGAGAGCCCCGAAAGGGUGCGGGUCGGGAAAGCGAACAGGAGAAUCUUCAGUGAUGGGCGGAAUAUCAGCUCGUUCCCGCCCAUACCACAUAGCUCCGAGAGCACAACAGUUCCAACACAGCCGGGCUCAACCUCCGCGCCCCCCGAUCCCAGAACGGCAGCGAGAAUUCAGGCAGAUGGCUGCCCACCCUUACCACAGCACUCCCAGAGGAUUAGGUGCAACUAAUUACAGGUCUGGACGACCCGAACAGAUACCGGCUAUACCGGCCCGAGGUGACAUUCAUGAUAGCCGAGCAGUGUAGCUAGUAGACCAGAGCUUGGCCUAUAAACAGUACACUCCGUUAAAGAUCUCUAUGGAGGAGUUGUAUGAGAGGAUCGAAGGACGAGGCCUGCUGUAUCCUCCAGCCCCAAUAACAAAACCGACUCACCGACGGGACAAGAGCCGAUUCUGCAAGUUCCACGACACUCACGGUCAUACUAUCAGCCAAUGUCGUGACCUGAAGAUUCAGGUGGAGGAUUUAGUGAGGAACCGAUACUUGGACGAGUAUGUAGAUGGAGUGUCCCCUGUCAUGGAAUCACAGUACACACGGGAUGAAGGAGUCGAGAGGGAUUUGGAACGUGAACAGCCGACCAUCCGUGUGAUAGCAGGAGGGCCAACAUUGGCCGGGGAUUCAAACAGAGCACGGAAGAACUAUGGGAGGUACGCCAUGACUGGCAGAGAGGUGCUUCUAAAUUUGCCAGCAGCCAAGAAGGCAAGAGUGCGGCAAGUUCCCAUCAUGUGGACGGAGGAUGACGAAGAGGGCAUUUUGUAUCCUCAUGAGGAUGCACUGGUGAUUAAAGCAUUAGUUGCUAGCACAGAAUUGAGGCGAAUACUGGUGAAUACGGGCAGCUCAGUCGAUAUUCUGUUUAAGUCGGCCCUAGAUGAUAUGGGGAUUUCAAAUUUAAAGCUGGAGCGGACAAACACAUCAUUAAAGGGAUUUAGAGGUGGACGAUUAACUCCCAUGGGGGUCAUUGAACUCCCAAUUACUGUGGGGACAAAGCCCUUUAAAAGAACGAUGAUGCUGGACUUUGUCGUGGUAGAGGAAAGAAGUCCUUACCAGAUGAUAUUGGGGAGACCAUUCAUGAGGAUAAGCCAAUGUGUAAUGUCCAUGCAUUAUCUGGCGUUGAAAUACAGAAUAAAUGGAGUUGUGGGUGUAGUAAAGGGCGACCAGAGAAUGGCCAGGAGCUGCUAUGCUACAGCGGCCAAGGAAACGCUGCAGGUUACCUCUCUAGAUAACCGAGGAGAUUCAAGAAAUGGUCGUCAGGAACCUGUUGAGAAGCUGGAGGAAGUUGUUGUAAGCAGGAGUGACCCUAGCAGAGUUGUUAAGGUCGGGUCAGAAUUGGGCGAAGCAAUAAAGGCCGAGCUGGUGAAGUGUCUACAGUCCCAUGCAGACAUAUUUGCCUGGUCUCAUGAGGAUAUGCCAGGUAUUGACCGCGGGAUAGCUUGUCACAAGCUGGCGGUUAAGAAAGGGGCAAGGCCGGUGAGGCAGAAAAGGAGGUGCUUUAACCAUGAAAGGUACGAGGCCAUAAAUGCCGAGGUGGAAAAGCUGCUGAAAGCAGGAUUUAUAAGGGAAGCCAAGUACCCGGAGUGGAUUUCCAAUGUGGUACUGGUAACGAAGGCCAAUGGGAAAUGGAGAAUGUGUGUAGACUUCACGGACCUCAAUAAGGCAUGCCCGAAGGACAGCUUUCCCCUACCAAAAAUAGAUCAGCUGGUGGACUCAACCGCGGGUCAUAGUCUGCUCAGUUUCAUGGAUGCCUUCUCCGGAUACAACCAGAUACCCAUGAACGAGCAGGAUGAGGAAAGCACCACCUUUAUAACUAACAUGGGUCUGUUUUGUUACAGGGUGAUGCCUUUUGGCCUGAAAAAUGCAGGAGCUACCUAUCAAAGGUUAGUGAACAAGGUCUUCAAACCAUUGAUCGGUCACACUAUGGAAGUAUAUGUGGACGAUAUGAUCACCAAGUCGAGGGAACCGAGAGAUCAUGUGAAGCACCUGGAGGAGACUUUCGAAUUGCUGAGGAGGUACGAAAUGAAGCUGAACCCGGAGAAAUGUGCAUUUGGGGUCGGCUCGGGCAAAUUUUUGGGGUACCUGGUGAGCCAUCGGGGAAUUGAAGCCAACCCAGAAAAAAUACGGGCGGUAAUAGAAAUGAGGUCCCCACGAACAGUUAAGGAGGUGCAAAGCCUUACGGGGAAAUUGGCAGCAUUGAACCGAUUCAUUUCGCGAGCCACUGAUAAGUGCCACCCUUUCUUUCAAGUCAUAAAGAAAGGGAAGAAGAUGGAAUGGACACCGGAAUGCGAGGGGGCAUUUGGACAGCUGAAGGAAUACCUAGCCCGCGCCCCGUUACUGUCAACUCCGAGAGAGGGUGAUCAGCUGCUCUUGUACUUGGCAAUCUCUAAGCAGGCUACCAGCUCGGUCUUAGUCAGGGAAGAAGAAGGGAAGCAACACCCGGUAUACUACACAAGCAAGGCCCUGGUGGACGCAGAAACCAGAUAUCCGAUAAUGGAGAAGUGGGCGCUGGCUUUGAUAACGGCAGCACGCAAACUCCGACCAUACUUCCAAGCCCACCAGAUCGUUGUGAUGACUGACCAGCCACUUCGGCAAGUGCUUCAAAAACCAAAUGCGUCUGGUCGGUUAGUAAAAUGGUUCGUGGAGCUGAGCGAAUUUGACCUGUCCUACAGGCCCCGAGGAGCAAUCAAGGCCCAAGCCCUGGUAGAUUUCAUGGUGGACCGUGUUGAACCAGGGGACGAGGUCCAAGAGGAACAACCGGCAGAGCAAGAGGAUUCAAAAGGGAUAUGGCUGGUAAUGGUUGACGGAUCAUGUAGUGAGCAAGGAUCCGGAGCAGGAGUUAUAAUACGGAGCCCAGAAGGAACCGAGAUAACAUAUGCGGUGAAGUUCGAAUUUCAGCUCACAAACAACCAAGCUGAAUAUGAGGCCUUUAUCACCGGGCUCGGACUUGCACACGCUCUAAGAGCAGAGAGGGUAGAAAUCCGAGCAGAUUUCCAACUGGUGUGUAAUCAGCUCAAUGAUCAGUUCCAAGCAAUGGGAGAGAAGAUGGGUCUUUAUUUAAAGAAGGCCAAGCAGAUGGUUGGGCUUUUCCAAGCAGUGGAGGUAAAGCAGAUAUCCCGGAAUGAGAAUUUCCGAGCCGAUAUGCUGGCUAGGAUGGCAGCCAUUGCAGAUCCCAAAUUACCGAAGUCAGUUCCACUAGAGGUAAGGACCUCACCAAGUAUUGAGGAAGAAGCAGAGGUGAUGAGAGUAAGUAUUGGAGAAUCCUGGAUGGACCCGAUUCGCGCAUAUGUCCGCGAUGGAGUUUUACCAGAGGACAAAAGGCAAGCAAGAAAAUUAAAAUGCCGAGCAACAAGGUAUACGCUACUGGAUGGAGUGCUGUACCGCCGAGGGUUCACCUUGCCCCUUUUGAGAUGUUUGGAUGAUGAGGAGGCGGAUUAUGUGCUGAGAGAGAUUCAUGAGGGAAUAUGCGGCAAUCACUCGGGAGCAAGAACUUUAGCCUUCAAGGCACUCCGGCAAGGAUACUUCUGGCCAACCAUGCACCAGGAUGCCAAAAGGAUGGCCAAGAAUUGUAAAACAUGCCAAAGCUUCUCCGAGGUUCCUGCACAACCACCGGAGAAACUGACGGCUAUGACAUCCCCAUGGCCUUUCGCUCAAUGGGGAAUCGACUUGAUUGGUCCAUUACCUAAGGGACGAGGAGCGGCGACACAUGCAAUCGUGGCAAUAGACUACUUCACCAAGUGGGUGGAAGUAGGAGUCCUCAGCCAGAUCACAGAGAGGAAGACAACAGAUUUUAUUUGGAAAAACAUCAUCUGCAGAUAUGGGAUCCCCUACGCCAUCAUCACAGACAAUGGGAGGCAAUUUGACAACGGCAACUUCAGGGAAUUUUGCCGAAACCUGGGGGUGGACCUGAAGUUCUGCACCCCCGCACACCCCCAGGCAAACGGACAAGUGGAAGCAGCCAACAAGGUGAUAAAGAAGCUCCUAAAGACUAGAUUGGGGGAGAAGAAGGGAGCUUGGGUUAACGAGCUACCAGGGGUACUGUGGGCCUACAGGACAACUCACAAAACCGCCACAGGAGAAACACCGUUCGCUUUAGCUUUUGGUCAUGAGGCGGUAAUCCCAGCAGAGAUUGGAGUGGGGACACAUAGAACGGAACAUUUCGUUGAGGAGCAAAAUGACGAGCAGAUCUACUUAAGCCUAGACCUGCUGGAGGAGAAAAGGGAAGGGGCCUCGCAGAAAGUGGCCCAAUGUCAGCAAAGGGUCAUGCGUUAUUACAACAAGAAUGUACGCGUGAGGCAGUUCCGAGCAGGAGAUUGGGUACUUAGGAAGGUGAACCAGAACACCAGGAAUCCUAACCAUGGCGCUCUUGGCCCAAAGUGGGAAGGCCCAUACCGAGUGAUACGAGCCACUGGACCAGGAGCAUAUAAAUUAGCGUGCCAAGACGGACGAGACGUGAAGAGGUCAUGGAACGCCGAACACCUGAAGAAGUAUUUCCAGUAAGCAAAAUGCUCUAUUAAAUCCUCACUCUGGCAAGUUAUUUCUGUUACAAUGCCUGAUGGCCUGUCGCACAUGCAUAUAUUCUAUGUUUUUGUAAUACAUUCAAAUUUCAAUAAAGAUGAAUUCAGCAUGAAAUCCCCCUACUAGCAAGAUCAAUAAAAAUUUCACUAAGACAAGUGCCACUUCUGCUCGGUCAACGAAGACCAGCAGCUAAAUUCUCUAAAUUUCAUUAAGGCAAGAGCCUACUUCUGCUCGGUCAACGAAGACCAGCAGCUAAAUUCUCUAAAUUUCACUAAGGCAAGAGCCUACUUCUGCUCGGUCAACGAAGACCAGCAGCUAAAUUCUCGAAAGUUCACUAAGGCAAAUCAAUGCCUACUUCUGCUCGGUCAACGAAUGACCAGCAGCUAAAGCUACGAACACUCUCCUAGGGCAAGUGCCUACUUCUGCUCGGUCAACGAAGACCAGCUAAAUUCUCGAAAGUUCACUAAGGAAAAUCAGUGCCUACUUCUGCUCGGUCAACGAAUGACCAGCAGCUAAAGCUACGAACACUCUCCUAGGGCAAGUGCCUACUUCUGCUCGGUCAGCGAAGACCAGCAGCUAAAGCUUCGAAAAUUCUACUAAGGCAACAGAGUGCCUGUUUCUGCUCGGUCAACGAAUGACCAGCAGCUAAAGCUACGAACACUCUCCUAAGGCAAGUGCCUACUUCUGCUCGGUCAGCGAAGACCAGCAGCUAAAGCUUCGAAAAUUCUACUAAGGCAACAGAGUGCCUGUUUCUGCUUGGUCAACGAAUGACCAGCAGCUAAAGCUACGAACACUCUCCUAAGGCAAGUGUCUACUUCUGCUCGGUCAACGAAGACCAGCAGCUAAAGCUUCGAAAAUUCUACUAAGGCAACAAAGUGCAUGUUUCUGCUCGGUCAACGAAAGACCAGCAGCUAAUUCUACGAGAAGUUUACUGAGGCAAGUAAAUACUGUUGAGUACAUAAAGGCACCAAGUCAGCCAUGCUACUGUUUCCGCCCCGGCACGGACCAUUUCAGCUAAGUGGUACGAGCAGAACACGGGGGCAAACAUGAGCCGAUCAGAGAUGGAUGCAACCAGGGAAACAUACCGACCAGAAGUAUAUGCCGAGCCAAUACUCAUCCCCAGGAAAGCAGGAACACGAUCCCACAAGAUCGCGGUAGUUGCGCUUCUCCCAGAACGGUUGAAGGACACACGAGAUCCACGUUUGCCCACAAUGCAACAGUUAGAGCUCCAUGAGGGGCUACCACCACCCGAAAAAGGAGGGAUAAGGGGCAAACGGAAAACGUGGGACAAAGGGCGGCUAUAAAAGAGAAAGACAUCGAAGAAGAAAGGGACAGAAAAAUUGAGAGAGGGAAAACGCUGCCAAAUUGCAACCAGAUUAAUUUCUUACAGAUUUUGAACAAACUUCUUGAAUCCAAAUUAUAUUGUUUUCCCGUAAACACCUUGUGCUAACUUAGGCAUCGGAGGGUUUACGCCGGCAAAACCACCGGCGUCUCUGAUCCAUUUUUGGUGAACGCAGGUCUAGUGAGAGAAAGGAGGGUGGUCCCGGCCUUAGUGGUUCGAGCAACAGUCGAUAACUUAAGCGUUGGUGAAAGGAUCUGGUCGGUCUAAGGACGAGCAGAUUUCAGCAUC
rnacentral:lncRNA from 1 species